rnacentral:rRNA from 1 species
GAUGAACGCUGGCGGCGUGCCUAAUACAUGCAAGUCAACGAGUUCUCGUUGAUGAUCGGUGCUUGCACCGAGAUUCAACAUGGAACGAGUGGCGGACGGGUGAGUAACACGUGGGUAACCUGCCCUUAAGUGGGGGAUAACAUUUGGAAACAGAUGCUAAUACCGCAUAGAUCCAAGAACCGCAUGGUUCUUGGCUGAAAGAUGGCGUAAGCUAUCGCUUUUGGAUGGACCCGCGGCGUAUUAGCUAGUUGGUGAGGUAAUGGCUCACCAAGGCGAUGAUACGUAGCCGAGCUGAGAGGUUGAUCGGCCACAUUGGGACUGAGACACGGCCCAAACUCCUACGGGAGGCAGCAGUAGGGAAUCUUCCACAAUGGACGCAAGUCUGAUGGAGCAACGCCGCGUGAGUGAAGAAGGCUUUCGGGUCGUAAAACUCUGUUGUUGGAGAAGAAUGGUCGGCAGAGUAACUGUUGUCGGCGUGACGGUAUCCAACCAGAAAGCCACGGCUAACUACGUGCCAGCAGCCGCGGUAAUACGUAGGUGGCAAGCGUUAUCCGGAUUUAUUGGGCGUAAAGCGAGCGCAGGCGGUUUUUUAAGUCUGAUGUGAAAGCCCUCGGCUUAACCGAGGAAGCGCAUCGGAAACUGGGAAACUUGAGUGCAGAAGAGGACAGUGGAACUCCAUGUGUAGCGGUGAAAUGCGUAGAUAUAUGGAAGAACACCAGUGGCGAAGGCGGCUGUCUGGUCUGUAACUGACGCUGAGGCUCGAAAGCAUGGGUAGCGAACAGGAUUAGAUACCCUGGUAGUCCAUGCCGUAAACGAUGAAUGCUAGGUGUUGGAGGGUUUCCGCCCUUCAGUGCCGCAGCUAACGCAUUAAGCAUUCCGCCUGGGGAGUACGACCGCAAGGUUGAAACUCAAAGGAAUUGACGGGGGCCCGCACAAGCGGUGGAGCAUGUGGUUUAAUUCGAAGCAACGCGAAGAACCUUACCAGGUCUUGACAUCUUUUGAUCACCUGAGAGAUCAGGCUUCCCCUUCGGGGGCAAAAUGACAGGUGGUGCAUGGUUGUCGUCAGCUCGUGUCGUGAGAUGUUGGGUUAAGUCCCGCAACGAGCGCAACCCUUAUGACUAGUUGCCAGCAUUUAGUUGGGCACUCUAGUAAGACUGCCGGUGACAAACCGGAGGAAGGUGGGGAUGACGUCAAAUCAUCAUGCCCCUUAUGACCUGGGCUACACACGUGCUACAAUGGAUGGUACAACGAGUUGCGAGACCGCGAGGUCAAGCUAAUCUCUUAAAGCCAUUCUCAGUUCGGACUGUAGGCUGCAACUCGCCUACACGAAGUCGGAAUCGCUAGUAAUCGCGGAUCAGCACGCCGCGGUGAAUACGUUCCCGGGCCUUGUACACACCGCCCGUCACACCAUGAGAGUUUGUAACACCCGAAGCCGGUGGCGUAACCCUUUUAGGGAGCGAGCCGUCUAAGGUGGGACAAAUGAUUAGGGUG